GACGAACGCUGGCGGCGUGCUUAACACAUGCAAGUCGAACGGUAAGGCCCUUCGGGGUACACGAGUGGCGAACGGGUGAGUAACACGUGGGUGAUCUGCCCUGCACUUCGGGAUAAGCCUGGGAAACUGGGUCUGAUACCGGAUAGGACCACUGCCUGCAUGGGUGGGGGUGGAAAGCUUUUGCGGUGUGGGAUGGGCCCGCGGCCUAUCAGCUUGUUGGUGGGGUGAUGGCCUACCAAGGCGACGACGGGUAGCCGGCCUGAGAGGGUGACCGGCCACACUGGGACUGAGAUACGGCCCAGACUCCUACGGGAGGCAGCAGUGGGGAAUAUUGCACAAUGGGCGCAAGCCUGAUGCAGCGACGCCGCGUGAGGGAUGACGGCCUUCGGGUUGUAAACCUCUUUCAGCACCGACGAAGCGCAAGUGACGGUAGGUGCAGAAGAAGGACCGGCCAACUACGUGCCAGCCACCGCGGUAA
rnacentral:rRNA from 1 species